rnacentral:rRNA from 1 species
UACGUAGGUGGCAAGCGUUGUCCGGAUUUAUUGGGUUUAAAGGGUGCGUAGGUGGUCUAUUAAGUCAGUGCUGAAAUAUCCCGGCUUAACCGGGAGGGUGGCAUUGAUACUGAUGGACUUGAGUAAAGUUGAGGUGGGCGGAAUUGACGGUGUAGCGGUGAAAUGCUUAGAUAUCGUCAAGAACACCUAUUGCGAAGGCAGCUCACUAAGCUUUAACUGACGCUGAGGCACGAAAGUGUGGGGAUCAAACAGG